ACGGAGGAUCCAAGCGUUAUCCGGAAUCAUUGGGUUUAAAGGGUCCGUAGGCGGUUUAGUAAGUCAGUGGUGAAAGCCCAUCGCUCAACGGUGGAACGGCCAUUGAUACUGCUAGACUUGAAUUAUUGGGAAGUAACUAGAAUAUGUAGUGUAGCGGUGAAAUGCUUAGAGAUUACAUGGAAUACCAAUUGCGAAGGCAGGUUACUACCAAUGGAUUGACGCUGAUGGACGAAAGCGUGGGGAGCGAACAGGAUUAGAUACCCUGGUAGUCCACGCCGUAAACGAUGGAUACUAGCUGUUGGGCGCAAGUUCAGUGGCUAAGCGAAAGUGAUAAGUAUCCCACCUGGGGAGUACGAACGCAAGUUUG
rnacentral:rRNA from 1 species